ensembl:lncRNA
AUUGGAAUGAAGCAGGGCUGAGGGGGUCACCUGGUCUGCAGCAGCUUCCCAGAAGCACACGUGACAACAAAGUGUGUUCAGCAGCAGCUUCCCAUCAUGACCCCCUAUUUGCACACUGAGAACUUUCCAAAAUUGGGUUGCAAUUUCUCAGAUUUGGUCUCUGCCUGAAGGUAGAAGAGGAAGUUGAGUAAAAUCCCUUCAGACCUUCUGAAACAAGAACAGAAUGAAAAAUUGCAUUUUCCUAUUGUAAUAAAAAUUCUAACCAUUUUGUUCUUCGUAAAACUGCUUGAAAUUUGAAGAAUGGCAUAGCUAUAAUUCUCAUCACAGGCCAGACCCAAAGCAAGCUGAGGUCAACAAUUCAUGGCUGAUCUCCCUUGAUUUUGCCUGGCUCUGACAAACAUCCUACAGAUCCUUGCUCCAUGAAUAAUCUCCUCGAAGAAAAUAUCCACAAGCAGACGAACGGACAUCUUUAGAAAGGAAGAAAUGCCACAGGAUAAUGGUUUUGUGCAGGCUUAGGCAGAGUCAAGAUAUUGCUGGAAAACAAACACUGAGAAAAAGCUGAGACGUUUAUUUUCCUGUCGGGACGCAGUGAUGCUAAGAUGAUGUCCUACCAACAGCACAUUUCAACAUUGCUGCACCGGUACCACCUCUAGACCCAACUGACCAGUGGGAGCCCAGCUAUACAGCCCUUCAAGUAGGCUUGCAAGCCCUAGACUUGGUAACUUCAUACAAGAUGCAAUGCAGGAAUGGACCGCUGGCAAGCGACAAGGAUGUGGUGCUUCUGUGUAAGCUAACAACACAACCACUACCUCAAGGAACUCACUGAUUCCAAAGCAAUCCAUCCAUGAGAGUGAUUUCCCAAGCUAUCUCUACAAAAAGUCCUUCUUCUGGCUUCCACCGUGCCUCGUCCCACUCCUAGGCACUAUGGAAAAAGAAGAAAAGGGCUAGGAAAACAUCUCUGCAUGAGAAGUGAGCUAUGCUGCCAACCCUGCUCAGUUUGAAAGCCAGUCCUUGCCCCAGCUGCUUCACUGGCUCCUGCCAUACACCACAGCCAUGUGUAUUUAUCUACCUUGUUUAUUUUUGAAGGCAGAAUGUAUUUUACAUGUUUUGUAUGACCUAGGGUAAAACAGCAUCCUCCCAGGCUCUCCAUCUAGACAGGCCAGUAAAACAACUAUCCGUAGUUUCCAUGAAGACUGCCCAGUAGCAAGAAAAGCACUACCAAGAGGUCAUUCAAAAGCACUUGAAAACAGCCACUGGGGCAGAUUUAACAGGCUGCAAUGUAGGGUCUGUAAAACAUGUUUGAUGGAGCAUUUUACAUUGCUUUAAAUUUGGAAUUCUUUGGAGAGCAUUUGAGGAUUUUUAAGAAACAAACACAAUCCUCUUCCUCCACACACAUACACAUAGACACAAAAAGCUUCUUCAUCAAGCAGGAAGUCGGCAUCCUGAGGCUCUGACCUCAGCUCACUCCUCAAAUUUAUCAACCAUGUUACAGAAUCAGGGCACACUGAGCAAUAUUUGGGAAAUGGGCUAGGGUGGGACUUCCUUUCCUCUUCUUUCCCUUCCUUUCCCUUUUCCCUUCCUUCCCCCUCCUUUCCCUUUUCCUUUUCCCUUCAUUUCCUUCCCCUCCCUCUCCAUCUAGGGUAUUCAAGUAAGCUGGGAUGUGGCUUGGAAAGGAUCUAACAAGAGCUCUCAGCUCACUAAAAUGAGGUGCAGUGGUGGUAUCUUAAUUGGAUACUUGGAGUUCCUUUCCCUGGGGUAGAUUCUCGGAAUAUUUUGAGGUUGUCUCUUUGGAAAUAUAUAAUAAAAAGGUAUUUUUGCUG